GUGAACGCUGGCGGUAGGCCUAACACAUGCAAGUCGAACGGCAGCACCGUAAGAGCUUGCUCUUACGGGUGGCGAGUGGCGGACGGGUGAGGAAUACAUCGGAAUCUACUUUUUCGUGGGGGAUAACGUAGGGAAACUUACGCUAAUACCGCAUACGACCUACGGGUGAAAGCAGGGGAUCUUCGGACCUUGCGCAAUUGAAUGAGCCGAUGUCGGAUUAGCUAGUUGGCGGGGUAAAGGCCCACCAAGGCGACGAUCCGUAGCUGGUCUGAGAGGAUGAUCAGCCACACUGGAACUGAGACACGGUCCAGACUCCUACGGGAGGCAGCAGUGGGGAAUAUUGGACAAUGGGCGCAAGCCUGAUCCAGCCAUACCGCGUGGGUGAAGAAGGCCUUCGGGUUGUAAAGCCCUUUUGUUGGGAAAGAAAAGCAGCAGGUUAAUACCCCGCUGUUCUGACGGUACCCAAAGAAUAAGCACCGGCUAACUUCGUG
rnacentral:rRNA from 1 species